UGACAGUAGGAUAAGCUAACCGUACUGUUGGUUAUGUACGGCUAAGCAUUGAGGCAGUCUAAAUAGGCAAAUCCGUUUAGACAAUGCUAGGAUGUGAUGGGGAAGCCCUUCGGGGCGAAGUAGCUGAUUUCACACUGUCAAGAAAAGCUUCUAUCGAGUUUAAAGGCGCCCGUACCGUAAACCGACACAGGUGGGUGAGGAGAGUAUCCUAAGGCCAGCGAGAGAACUAUUGUUAAGGAACUCGGCAAAAUGACCCCGUAACUUAGGGAGAAGGGGUGCCUGUCUAUGACAGGCCGCAGAGAACAGGCCCAAGCGACUGUUUACCAAAAACACAGGUUUCUGCUAAGUCGCAAGACGAUGUUUAGGAGCUGACGCCUGCCCGGUGCUGGAAGGUUAAGGGGAUCUGUUAGAGCAAUCGAAGCAGUGAACUUAAGCCCCAGUAAACGGCGGCCGUAACGAUAACGGUCCUAAGGUAGCGAAAUACCUUGUCGGGUAAGUUCCGACCCGCACGAAAGGCGUAACGAUUUGGGCACUGUCUCAACAAUAGACUCGGUGAAAUUGUAAUCCCGGUGAAGAUGCCGGGUACCUGCGACAGGACGGAAAGACCCCAUGGAGCUUUACUGUAGCUUGACGUUGGGUCUUGGUACUACAUGUACAGGAUAGGUGGGAGACUAUGAAGCAUGGACGCCAGUCUGUGUGGAGUCAUCCUUGGGAUACCACCCUUGUAGUACUGGGAUCCUAACCAUAGGCCUUGAAUCAGGUCUUGGAACACCGUCAGGUGGGCAGUUUGACUGGGGCGGUCGCCUCCUAAAAAGUAACGGAGGCGCUCAAAGGUUUCCUCAGCACGGUCGGAAAUCGUGCGAAGAGUGUAAAGGCAAAAGGAAGCUUGAUUGCAAGACAUACAGGUCGAGCAAGGACGAAAGUCGGACUUAGUGAUCCGGUGGUACCGCAUGGAAGGGCCAUCGCUCAACGGAUAAAAGCUACCCUGGGGAUAACAGGCUUAUCUCCCCCAAGAGUCCACAUCGACGGGGAGGUUUGGCACCUCGAUGUCGGCUCAUCACAUCCUGGGGCUGUAGUAGGUCCCAAGGGUUGGGCUGUUCGCCCAUUAAAGUGGUACGCGAGUUGGGUUCAGAACGUCGUGAGACAGUUCGGUCCCUAUCCGUCGCAGGCGUAGGAAAUUUGAGAAGACCUGUCCUUAGUACGAGAGGACCGGGAUGGACGUACCUCUGGUGUACCAGUUCUUCUGCCAAGGGCAUGGCUGGGUAGCUAUGUACGGAAUGGAUAAGCGCUGAAAGCAUCUAAGCGCGAAGCCAACUUCAAGAUAAGAUUUCCCACCGUAAGGGUAAAACCCCAGGAAGACUACCUGGUUGAUAGGUCGAAGGUGUAAGUGCAGUAAUGUAUUUAGCUUAUCGAUACUAAUAGGUCGAGGACUUGACCAA
rnacentral:rRNA from 1 species